GGCCUAUCUCCCCCCACCACCACUUCCCCUGCCAGUGGCGGACCCCCUCAGACAUCGGUGCGUUGGUGGUUCUUUGUGUCUGGGGAUGGGCGUCCAGGUACACACCGGCUCACUCCUUGGCGGCCGCUUAUCGGGGCCUAGAGCCUGGGGCUCGCUUGGGCCACUUCGGAGGUGGGGUGCCCCCGGCCUCUCGGCCUGGGGCUCGGUCACUCAGGCACAGCUGGGGGCCGGCGGAGCUCACGGGCGCGUCACUGCGACUCCCCCUGGCUUCUGCUCCGUGGCUGCUGAGUGAGCCCUCAUCUGGGACUCUCCUCAGCUCUUUCUGGGACAGUGGCGCGGCUGCCCCUCUGUUGGUCUUCCUUGGUCUCUUGUGUUCUGGGGGCCUCUGGAUGUCUGGAGUUUUGAUCUCCUCCAUACCUGCUUCAUGCCCUGGAGGACGGGGCUGUGGCCCCCCCACACCCUCUAGCAGAUCAUUACAUGAAGGAACCUUUAAAAAAAAAAAAACAAGCGCGUCCAUGCUCACAGGUGUACACACGGGUGAUCACACCCACAAACUACACCCUUUUUGGCUCCUACCUCAAAGCACACUGUGUUCUGUUGAUCUUAUGUGCUGCACAAUAAUGUUUAAUAUUUAGUAUUUACUGUCAUAUUCCCAUAUAUCAUUGUGAUGUUGUUUAUUCUAUUACUCUUGUUCUCUUCUGCUUGUUUUCUUUUUUCUUUCUCAGCAGGUGAUCCAGGUGAUUGAUAUAUGCAUUUUUUAUUUCUUUUUUUUUUCUGUUCAUUCUGUUGGUUUUUGUUUUUUGCCCUUCUCCCCCGUCCCUCUUCUCAGCUGUUUCUCUUUCCCUCUUUCUUUCUCCCGUUCUUUCCCCCAGUCAAGUCUGUCCCGUAUUCAGUAAGUGAAAAUAAAAUAAACAAUAAAAGGUGAAUCAAAUGGACCAUUACGGCAAGGCUGGGAUGGUCAAUUUGGUAAAGUAAAUCCGUUGGGCAUCUUUCUUUGCCUUUAGACAAUAAUUCUGAUGGCAAAAGAGCCAAACGGGACAGGCAAAAAAAAAAAGAAAAAGGAAAAAGAAAAAAAAAGAAAACGAUAAGCAGAGACGGAUGGAUGGAUUGAUGGAUGCAACAGAUAACCAUGCCCGUGUGCAAGUGUGCAGUUACAAAGUUUUAUCGUUACCAAGAUAUGCACAAAAAGAAAAGCUUCACAGGAUUAUGGUAUUUACUAAAAAAAAAAAAAAAAAGCAGAAUUUAUUUAUGCUACACAUUUAAAACUUAACAUUUUAGUUUAAUAUGCAUAAGUGUGUCAUUUCGGUUGUUUUCUAGCAAUAUGUAAAGUUGUUCCCAUUUGAUCUUCUGGCUAUUCCUCAAAAAACAUUCAAUUUUAACUUACCUUUUAUACAUUUUACUAAAUUGUAGUUUUUGAAUUACUACCCCAAGCUUCCACAAGUGGGCCAAUUUAUUUACCACAUAGAUUAUUUCAAACAGCAAGAACUAUCAGGCAGUAUUUAUUCAGCAUUCAGGCAGCAAUUAAUCCCCAGUGAUUGUGUCACUGUAGACAAACAGCUUGAACCUACAAACAGGGGUAGGUUCAAAUUUCUACAGCACAAGACGGUCAAGUAUGGCCUAAACAUCUUCUGGGUUUGU
ensembl:lncRNA